rnacentral:pre_miRNA from 1 species
UGAUCAUUCAUCUUAUUUGAAUUUUUUUAUGAUUAAUAUUUUUGUUGUUAUUAGAUGAUAAAACAUGAAUAGUACUCUAAGCGUGACUAAUUUUUUUAAGUUUUUCCAUAAAAUUUUAAAUAAGACCGAUGGUCA